rnacentral:rRNA from 1 species
AGAGUUUGAUCCUGGCUCAGAAUGAACGUUGGCGGCGUGGAUUAGGCAUGCAAGUCGCGCGAUAAGCGUAGCAAUACGCAGAAAGCGGCGUAAGGGAGAGUAAUACAUGGUUAGCUACCUCGGGACUGGGAUAGCGGCGGGGAAACUGCCGGUAAUACCAGAUGACAUCUUCGGAUCAAACGUGUGAAUCGGCCCGAGGAGGCGACCAUGUCCUAUCAGCUUGUUGGCGGGGUAACGGCCCACCAAGGCUAAGACGGGUAUGGGGCGUGAGAGCGUGCCCCCACUCACUGGGACUGAGAUACUGCCCAGACACCUACGGGUGGCUGCAGUCGAGAAUCUUCGGCAAUGGGCGCAAGCCUGACCGAGCGACGCCGCGUGCGGGAUGAAGGCCUUCGGGUUGUAAACCGCUGUCGUAGGGGAGGAAGGCUCCGUGCAGAACGGAGUUUGACCGAUCCUAGGAGGAAGGGCCGGCUAAUCUCGUG